rnacentral:lncRNA from 1 species
GGAGGGGAAGGUGGGGGUUGGUGGGUGGAGGAUGUGGAGUCAGCUGGGCAGACCCUCCCCUACCUCCCAGCUGUGAGCCUGUGGUUGCAGGCUGUGGCCUCCUACCUGUGUGGCCAGGUCACUUGCUGCCCUCACAGCCUCUCCACACAGACGCCAAAGGUCUCCUUUCCUCCUGGGCUCUGCCCUGACAUUACUUCAUUGGUCUUACCCAAGACCCGUCCUGCCUGAGCCCCAUUCUCUCCCUUUCCCAGGAUGGCAGCUGAAUGGCUGGAUGGGAUCUGAAGUCUCCCUUUCCCAGGAUGGCAGCUGAAUGGCUGGAUGGGAUCCCGUCUGGCGGUUACCAAGCAUGGUCCCUGCCUCCUGCUUCUCCAUCAGGAACACGGUGGUGGUCUUCCCAGUGGGGCCCGCAGGAGUGUGCACGGAUGUCCACAGCUGCUGUAAUGUUUGCCUCUGAAGCCAGAGUACGCAUCGUGGGGUGCUAUCGCUGUGCGCCUCUGCAGAGCCCAACAGUUCAGACUUCAAAACUUCAGGGCCGUGGCCUGGGAUUCAGGCGGAAGAGACAGAGUAUUUGAUAAUUCAUCCAGUUACACUGCCCUUCUGUAGCGAGCUGCCGAACUGGACCCUGGAGGACAUUUGCACAGAUGCUCAUGUAGAUACCUGAUUAGAUGUGCUUUCACCACAAGGAAAUGCAGCUAAGAUCCUCAUCGUGGAAAUGCAGUUUCCUUUUAUUUGAGACUGCCUGCUGAAGGUUGGAUGGGACCAGGGCUGACGGAAGACAAAAGGCAUCUUUGGUAUCAUUUGAGGGUUAAUACAAAUCACUUCCUUCUUUACAAAAAAGGGUAAUUACAAGCACUGGUAGAUUAACUGUAUUAGACCCUGAUUGUAUGCAGGGGCCAUUUAUUACAGGCAACGUUUAUUCCACACUUCCUGGUGCCUCUUCGGCAUCCCACACUGGUGAUUUCACAGUGGAAGCUUCCAUUCUGGGUUUCUGUUGUGGGAGGUGUGUGGCCUCUGGCACCGGUACAGCCCCUGGGCAUGUCUAGAUCUGCCAGGAGUGGUGGUAGAAAGGUGCCAGCCGGGGCUUCAGGGCCCAGACGCUUCUCCUCCCAUCUGGAUGGACACUCGGGGUUCCAGUUACACACGGGCAGAAUCAGCACCUUGGGAAUUUGAGCCAUCUGCAAGCAGAUCCCUUUACAUUCAAGGGAAGGCUUGUGUCUGACAAAUGAAAAUGGGACACUUUCCAGCUUUCCACGUUGUAAGCUAAACCACUUGCCCCUGCAUCAGCAUGUCUGGAAGUGGGCUCCUCAGAUGCCGGAGAUCUGCAGACGUGCUCUUGGGGUCUGGUUCUCUGUACUCCAUGUUACCUGGGCUGCCUUGUGAAUGAGCCCUAUCUGUGGUUUCACAUGUGGGUGUAUGCAGAGCUCUUCCCAAGGAGUGGGCGGGCACUUCUUCAUAUGUGGGUCUCCAGCUGUCCCUCUGGUCUGCUGCUCCAGACUUCAGGCUGGAAUCACACAAAUGCCACUCCGUUUCACUAAACCCCACUCUGGUCUCAGGCCUUGCAGUCAGCCGCUCUGCGCUGGCCUCUAGCUCUCUCUAAUUUGGAAUGCUGUCACUGGCCCCAGAUGCUGCUCCUCUCAUGGCUCGCUGGCUCACCUGUUCCACAGCAGCUGCCUGUGGACUCCUCCAGGUGCAGGGGACAGGGCCAGUAUUGCAUAAAAGUUUAAAAAGUCACCACAGCAGAGGGACAUCAUGUCUGGUUGCCAAACUUGUUUUUUUCUGACUUUUCAUUGUAAAACAAAACACAGAUAUGGAAAACCACACAAAACACGCACACAGCUGAAAUGGGUUAUGAUAAAGCAGCCCUCCCCCACCUCCCUGCAACUACCACCAAGUUGAGGAAUGGACCUUUGCAGACUCUCCAGAAACCACAUGUUCCUCAUCCCUGUCAGUCUCGCCAGCCCCUGCCUCAAAUUAACAUCACCACGAAUUCAACAUCUUGGUCCUUGCCCUUCUUGUGGUCUGUCAGUCACGUGCAUGCCUAGAAUCUAGAGUUUCCUCUUGCCCAUUUUCUUUUUAAUCUGAGGUCUUUAAAUCCCUUUCAUUCUACAAGUUCUCCUUCUACUCUUUUCUUUCCCAUACAACUUACCUGUUGUAGAAUUCACGGUUUUUGCCCAUAGAAUGUCCCAGUCUGGCUUUUGCCAAGUGCAAAGUUAUGGGGCAAUACAACACCAUCUUCUGUGCUCUCAACCUGCACAUUGGUUCCUGCAUCCAGAGCCCGAUCCUAAGGAUCUCUUUCUUAAGAUUACAGUCGGCAUUUUGUUUCUUUAUUGGGAGGCAUAUAACACUUGAUUGCUUCUCUCUGCGAUGCCAGCUGCUGUGGAUGCUGCUAGAGUCAUGAAUCCAUCAUGGGUUACACAAUGGUUAGCCUGAUGGCACCAUGGUUUCUGUUCUUGAACAGCAAUGCUGUGAUAAAGACAUGCCUCCCCUUAUCUAUGACUUGCUUCCCCUGAGGAACAGCUCACAGACAGACGAGGCUAAAUGCUUGAUUCUCUUCAUCUGUUUUCAAGAUAAUGAACUGGGACACUGUCGUUCCAUGAAUAUAAUAUUCUCUGAAUUUUCUUAUUAAUUUGUGGAUUAGACUUAUUUAAUAAGUUUCAAUCAGUUGAAAUUAACAUCCUUCCUGAAACUGAGAUUGUCCCAUCUCCCCUAAUAGGAGCCUUUUCAAGUUGGACUUGAGCCCUGGUAACACAGCCAUGGCCACCUUGACCUCUCCGCCCUCUGGUGCUGCCCAGGCCCAGAUCAUAUUCCACUCCCCCAGUACCUGGGAGCAGUCAUUUCCCCGAGAAACCCCACUUAUCCCGUGGCAAAGGUGUUUCCCAACUGUCCCAGGAGCACUGCGAGUGCUCACUAUAGAUGGCAGAGCUGGGAAAGGCCUUAGGAGUUUGAGCCAUUUCUUCCAAUUCAAAUUCAGGAUGAAAGAGUUUGAUUUAAUCUCCUCUUAUUUAACAUCUGUGUCUCCUUUGUUCAACACCAAAAGUUCUAGCAGCACUCAAGGAUGAUAGAAUCAGGAUAUCUCACAGAACUGCGCAUUUCUUCUAUUGCACAUUAUACACACAAUUGUUUCAGAAUAAAAAUAUUAUAUGUGUGUAUAUAUUAUAUAUCAGUAAUAAUGUUAUCACCACUGAUAUCAUGGCUAAAAAUAAUAUUUUUCUGUGUGUGUUUUCUGUUUCCACUUCCAUUUUAAAAUAGAAGUAUUGUGUCUACAUGGUCAAUUCAUAUAGCCAUUAUAUACAAUUUUUUCUCCCUUUUAGCCCUCAUUUUCCUAGUUCUACAGGUAACUAUAUAAAUGCUUAUCACUAGUCUUUAAUGAAAAUCUUUGUUGCCAUUUUUGGUUGAAGUUCAUUCUCUAGGAUGAGCUCUCUCUUAGCAUAGGCGCAUGGGAACAAUAUUUCUGAAUUCUUGAAUGCUGAUAACACUUCCUCUCUUUGAUACUUGAAAGUCAGUUUUGCUGGGUAUAAGAUUCUUGGUUCACAUUUUUUCCUUAAUAAAACUUAAUAGAUAUAAGAUUUUAGCUUUUUUCAGGCAUAAAGCUUUGCUGUAAAAGCAUGAUGAUACUCUAUUUUUGUAUUCCUUACAAUAUCUUGCUUUUCAACCUAGAUGCCAAAAAUGUUUUUUUUUAAUUUUUCUGUAAAAGUUUAGUAUUUUAAUGCGUAUAUCUUGGUGUUGGUUAUUCUGGAUCUAUAUUCUCAGGUAGCUGGCAUGUACUUUCAAUAUGGCCAUUUUAAAUCUCUCUUAAAGUAAGGAAAGUUGUUGUGAAAGACAGUUUUUAUACUGACUUUGUUUCCUGCUUUGAUUUUCUCCUGCAGGGUCCAUUUGUACAUGCCACCUUCUGUGCCUGCCUUUCAUAUUUGUCCUUUUGUAUUUCUUGAGUCCCCUUCUUUCUUACUUUCUUCCUUUUUUAUUUUAAAAAGCCUUUCUUUGUUACCUUCUAUUUUUCUUAAGGUAUUGUCUCUUGUGUUUCCUCCAUUCAUGUCUCUGAUAGCUUAGUUUUCAUUUCUGAAGUGAUUUUUAGCAUUUUUUAUUCUUCCUGUUUUAUCGUCUCAUUUCUGAAUUCUUUUAAAUGAUGAUUUUUGUUUUUAUUGCAUGUUUUAUAGAAUCUGUAAUCUCAUUUUGAACUACUACUAAGCUGUUUCCACCCAUUGUCUGAGCUGCAUCUCUGCCAUGCUUUAAUUGUCCAUAUAGAUAUUAUUCUGUGCCAUAUUAUCCAUUUUCUUAUAAAUACUGUUAGUGAAAAUUUGUCAUGUCUCAUUUUUUAAAUCAAUAUUUUGAACUAUUAAAAGCACGUAGCAUAAAAUUUACCAUUGUAACCAUUUUUUUUUUUUUUUUGAGAUGGAGUCUCGCUCUGUUGCCCAGGCUAGAGUGCAGUGGUGCGAUCUCAGGUCACUGCAAGCUCCGCCUCCUGGGUUCACGCCA